CUGGACACUGUCCUGUGCCCCCUGCUCUGGGUGAGCCUGCUUGAGCAGGGGGGUGGCACUGGGGGAGCUCCCGAGAGCCCUUCCAACCCCGGCCAUGCUGGGAUUCUGGGA